rnacentral:lncRNA from 1 species
UUGUCUCGAUUUCAUACUAUUUCGUAUUUAAGCUUUAUUCACUAAAGUCUUUGAAAUAUCAUCUUUAUGCAAAUAACACACAUGAGGUACAUAAUUCCGUAGUUAUAAAUGAACACAUUUAUCAAACAUAUUCCAUGUUUUUAUAUAUAUAUCAUAGUCUCAAAUUUACAUGUAUCAAUUACCAUCACUUCCUCGUAUUUCAGACAAAUACGUGUAACAAUUCAUAAAUAUGCAAUUCACUAACUCUUCCUGCCAAUCACGAUUUAAAUUGCCAAAUCACUUAUUGAGCCCAAUUUCAAUGUACACUAAAAUCUAUCAUAUAAAUUUGGAUGUACGUAUUCAUC